rnacentral:misc_RNA from 1 species
GUAUAAGUAAAGAUUCCUUGAUUAAUUUAGGGUUAUUUUUAGUUUAGGUUGAGAUGUAUUUUUAUGUCUUGAUUGAUUAUUAGAAAUAAUUUUUAGUUUAUUUAAUUAACGAGUCUUGGUAAUUUUUGAAAACCGGUGUUGAGAUAUAGUUUUGAUUGGUAUUAGUUAAUAGAUUUUAGAUUUAUUGAUAUAAGACUUUUUGGGGUU